GUCGAACGAGGUCCAUCCCGUGGCAACACGGGUGAAGACCUAGUGGCGAACGGGUGAGUAACACGUGAGGAACCUGCCCCGAAGACCGGGAUAACCCUCCGAAAGGAGAGCUAAUACCGGAUGUCCCCACCUGGCCGCAUGACCGGGUGAGGAAAUGGAUUCCGCUUCGGGAGGGCCUCGCGGCCUAUCAGCUAGUUGGUGGGGUAACGGCCCACCAAGGCAUCGACGAUCAGUAUCUGGUUUGAGAGGAUGAUCAGACACACUGGAACUGAGACACGGUCCAGACUCCUACGGGAGGCAGCAGUGGGGAAUUUUCCGCAAUGGGCGAAAGCCUGACGGAGCAAUCUCGCGUGAGGGAUGACGGCCUAUGGGUUGCAAACCUCUUUUUUCAGGGAGGAACAAAAUGACGUGUACCUGAAGAAUAAGCAUCGGCUAACUCCGUGCCAGCAGCCGCCGUAACAC
rnacentral:rRNA from 1 species